rnacentral:hammerhead_ribozyme from 1 species
AUCCAGCUGACGAGUCUAAAACAAGAUGAAACACGUUUCCUGAAU